CUCAACCACGUGGUGGCCGAGAGACGGACCUGGGCAACGCCCUCAAGUGGCUCCUCGCUGCGGACAUUGACGGCGACAACCAGAGUGAGGGCGAUUCGCUAGAGGUGGCGCCACAGUCGUUCGGCGGGGGCGGAGCAGCGUUUCGCGACGAGAGAAACGUAUGUUUCCAUCGCUGCUUUGGACAGCGCAAGCUUACGGCCUUACAAUGCUUCGGGAUGUGCCGUUAAAGUACCCGAAAUAUACAGAAAAAUAUACGCAGAUGCACAGUCUCCGAUGCCAACAGAGAAUGACGCAGAGGAUUGUGGGAAAUAGACCGCAAUUCUUCUCGCCGCAAUCAAAAGCGGUUUCUAAUCCUACGUUCAAAGAAAAGAUUUUCUUUCGGUCAUUCCUGUGUUGUAAUUCUUGCGGUGGAUCAGGGCGUAGACUGGCCGCCGUACGUUUAUCCUAUAGUAUACGAUCUUAGUGAUAUUAUUUGUAUACUUUCCAGUAUCAGUAUUCAUCCUUUAAUUAAUCCAUUAAGAGUUGAGUAGGUUUUUUACAUGUAUAAUUGCCCAUAGGUGGCCGGGGCGGUGUAGGGCUGAUAAUCUAUUUUGCAUUCAUAUUUUCGUCACUUCUGGUCUGAAGCAGUGUAACCUUCCAAUUGUAACUGGAAUCAGUGUGAAUGUAAGGGAUUUCGCGUGAAUGCGAAAGGGAAUGCCAUUUCAAAAUCUUUAUGACGCGCCAUCCCUGGCGGUGCGAUUACACGAAGAAAGAAAAAUGAAUCAAAUUAUAACCGUAGGAAGGCGGUUAAACGAUUUAGUUUACUAAAGACCUUCUGUAGCGACUAUUGAAAAACGCAUUCACAUGGCAGUUUCAUAAAAGUAAGGCGGCGUUUAAUUUUAGGUCGUUAACUCGUCUGUUUAUUAAAUAUGUCUUUAGAAUCGAUGACGGAAUUCGUCAAAACGUGCGCAGUGGCAGUUUAUACCUGCUUCGUGUUAAAUUUAUAGUGUCAGAAAAAUAGUUUUGUAUACGUAAUUUAGCAUUAUAGUCGCUACUAUGAGGAUAUGAUCAAACGGCAGUGUGUGUAUAUGCAUAUGAUGCACAGCGCGGCAGUAUAACCUGGCCUUGUGUUAGCUUUGCAAUCAAUUGUUGAGGUUAGAGUAUCGCGCGAGAUGAUCUCAUGUGAUGCAAGAUGAGUAUAUAUCGUGUGUGAACAUAUCUUUAGGGUAAGAUGAAUUCAGUUUUCGCGUUGACCGAUAUUCAAUAUGGACAACAAGCAAUAUUGAUUAUAAUUUUUCAUUAAAGUUUAUUAAAAUCACUGAAUUCGUAA